CAGAGAUUUAACGAUUUGCUGGGCUUAAGUCUCGUUCGACUAUGGGUUCACUGAGUGACCAGGCUUCGCGUUAUUCUUUGAUAAAGUCUCCGGCUGCAAUGGCCGCCGUGUGAUAAGUCGAAAUUAAAGCGUUUCUGAUACCAGAUUUACGAGCAUCGAACUGAGAGAGCGUCGUUUGCGCGUUACACCGUGCAAUUGCGCCUGUCCACUGUGUAGCGGCACACGAGCUAGAGGACAAUUCAAAUGAUGUUGUUGUAUUGCCUCGGAGUAUCAAGAUCGCUAGGAUACAUGUAAUAUCUCAUCAGCGAUUCGAAGCUAGUCCGGGCUGGAGGAAGCAACGAUACGAAUCGAGAGACAUCGGGAAACGGUCGAUUCGAAGAAGUCAUCGUUCGUUCGGUUGGAAUCGAUUAGGGUAGCCAGCACGGGUCGCGCUCGAUGAGAUUCCAAGCUCGCGCUAU
rnacentral:misc_RNA from 1 species